GCAGGAAGCAGCCUUUGUUGUGAAGAAGAAGCUCUGACUUUGCCAAGGUAGAAGACUUUAGCGGAGGACAUUCAGGCAGCCAUGACAAAGAUAUUCCUGAAAGGGACUUGGAACUGCUACAGAAGUGGCCAGAAGUAUGUGUGUUUUUCAGUUGCACAUUGGCGUGUGUGGGCGAUACAUCUACAGUGAUGAGCUUCGUAUCCGAGGGAGGUGAACGCCCGAUUCAAACAUGUAUUUCUUCAUACAUUUCUCUGUCAUCUUUGGAGUUUCUGGUCUAGUGAGAGGCGCAGACAAUCAAAUGCAGCUCAUCUAAUCCAGAAUAAUGGAGAAAGUCGCAUGGUUUUCUGCAGUGAGACAGUGGAGAGACAGUCCACAUCCAAGCACCCUGAAUGCAUCAAAAAUCUUUGAGAAACGAUCUCCCAAAGCUCUGAGGCAUCCAUCUACUUGACUCCAAAGAGAAUUCUUCAGAAUGAAGCCACUACACAAUGAAGCAAUCUGCCUUUUUGUUGCUUUCAUAGUGGUUGGAGCUCACCAUUAAUAUCUGUGUACAAUUGAACUCAAUGAGAUUUUGGAUCUGGCAAAACACCCUAGCACUGAAACACACAGCAAUGAAGUACAUUGCAAAGCUUAUGAUUUUCAAAUGGAAAUCUUGCUUUGGCUCUAUGGAGGUGCCAAGGAGCUAUGAGCAAGAGAAGACUAAGUUGACCUGCCUGGGCCAGGUGUGUGUACAGAGCUUGCUGCUUUGAUGAGUUUAGACAGGCCACCUACACAGCUCACCCCAUCUUCUGAGUGGACACACUCUUCGGAGGGAACCAGACAAGAACCUGUGAGGACAACUUUGCUGUCACCCCUGUCUGAGCCAAGAAGGAAAGUACAUUUUUUCCAAGUGCAAGCUCUGAGCUUCUGAAACUCAACAGCACAACGGCACAGUGGGACUGAUAUCAGGAGCUCAUGCAGAAAAUAAAAGAUUGGAAAAACACCCCUUUACUGGGGCUACAGUCACAUAAGUAUGAAGUCAAUGCAAAAAGGAGAUCCACUUCUUAAGAAAACCUGUUAAUAUUCUAGAUUAUUUAAAGAUUAUAUCUAAUUUUCUCUGAACAAAUUCAAAUAUGGGCAAACACAUGUAUAUAUUUCCUGAGUAAAAUAUGUCAUAAAAUACAUCAGUAAAAUACAUCAAAGGAGAAACUCUAUGGGCUGCUUCCUGGAAAGCAAUAUUGUCAUUCACUAAAAGUCAUUAAGGGGUUCUAUCAAUUUCUUUGUCAUGUAGAUUAAAGAAUGUAGCUUGCUGUGCAUUGGAUAUGGGUUGAAUGUGGCCCUCAAAGGCUUAUGUGUGGGAAGUUUGAUCCUUAUUGAUGGGCUUUAGCAGGCAGAGCCUAGUGGGAGGUCCUUAGAUCACGGUGGGUAGACUGACUUCAGAAUGGUGUGUGGGACCUUAGCUUUUCCUGGUUUCUUCUUUUUAUAUGGGAUUUCUUGCUUCCAUAUGUGCUUUUGCUAUUGUGACACUUUUGGCUGCUAGACUCUCACCAGAGUUAAACUGAUGCGGGUGCCUUAUAUUUGAUCCUUUAGAAUUGUGAGCUGUAUAAACGUUUUUCUUUUUUAGCUUGUCUUAGCUGUUUCCUUAUAUUAACAAAAAAAAGGCUAAUUCAGGGACUGACAGUGAGAUGUCUGAAAGUGAGACUUAAGAAGGCUACAGUGGGAUUUCUCAGAAGCAGAUUUUAACACAAAUAUCGGUAACAAAGGUUUUUAGGGAAGUGUUCACAGGAGAAGUCCAUAUGCAGUACAGAGCUUUGGAUAAAGCUAAUCAGUUUUAGUUGUGGAGAAUAGGAUCAGCUUGUUCUUCAUGGAGUCUCUCAUGUGUAGGCUGAGGUUCCGUUUGCCUCCCCCGAAGAUGAGAAGCUGGGCUUUCAAUGGGCUGAGAACUCCCCAGUACUUGCUGCGCCUUGAGAUGUCUGCAGGAAAAUGGACUCAGGAACUCUUGAGGAAAUUAUCCAAAGAAGAGUAUCAGGAGGAUGCAAGGAGAUCUAGGAAGAGCAAUGAAUGUCUUCCAUAGGCCAAGCCUGUCUCUGCUAAGACACUCUGCAUAAUGCCUUGGUUUCUGCAGGAUGGUGGUUGGAAGGUUUGUGGGAUGGGUUCUAAAUAUCCCUCUCCCCAUGGUUUGCACCAAGGCUAUAACUGAUUUUUUUCUCAUCUUCACCACUCAUCCAUCAAGAUUCUGUUCUGUCCACUUAAGGUCAAAGCAUAUGAUUCCUAAUGUAACUUAGACCUUAAUUCCGAAGGAGGAGUCUAGGUCAUGAGGGAUUUAACUCCCAACUGUUAUUCUUUUCAAGAUAUAGUUGUCAUUGGCCAUUUUUAGUGAAAACAGCAUGAAAGUAUUAGAGAUGUCCUAAAAGGAUCCUGGAGGUAUAGUUUUAGGAUGGCUUACAAUGGAUCAUUAUUCACU